rnacentral:rRNA from 1 species
CCUACGGGCGGCAGCAGUGAGGAAUAUUGGUCAAUGGACGAGAGUCUGAACCAGCCAAGUAGCGUGAAGGAUGACUGCCCUAUGGGUUGUAAACUUCUUUUAUAUGGGAAUAAAACGUUCCACGUGUGGGAUUUUGUAUGUACCAUAUGAAUAAGGAUCGGCUAACUCCGUGCCAGCAGCCGCGGUAAUACGGAGGAUCCGAGCGUUAUCCGGAUUUAUUGGGUGUAAAGGGAGCGUAGGUGGAUUGUUAAGUCAGUUGUGAAAGUUUGCGGCUCAACCGUAAAAUUGCAGUUGAAACUGGCAGUCUUGAGUACAGUAGAGGUGGGCGGAAUUCGUGGUGUAGCGGUGAAAUGCUUAGAUAUCACGAAGAACUCCGAUUGCGAAGGCAGUUCACUGGACUGCAACUGACACUGAGGCUCGAAAGUGUGGGUAUCAAACAGGAUUAGAUACCCCGGUAGUC